AGACCGUUUUAAGUUUAUCUGCAGAUGUUGUAUAGAUCAUUUCAUUGGCUACGGAGUAUCUGAAGAUACACUUAAGACGGUCUUAAAUAUAAGAUCCAACUAUGAAUACCGGCCUAAGACCAGCUUGCUGAACAAAACGAAGCAACGCUUUAUAUGCCUGAAUAUUCUGUGAAAAGGCAAUCUGAUAAACGUCGUAGGGUGGCGAAAAGCCGUUAUGAAACAGGUCCAUGACAAGUGUCGCGGAGUGCUGAGCGAGUAAUGAACAAUUAAAGAAAAGAUGAUUAGCAUCCUGAUAUUGACCGCAAUCGCAUGUGGCAGAAAGAGCAUCGGAACCAAGGCUUCGCAAGAACCGGAUCAACCUUUCUGUCAAAAUAACGCUUCCCCUUAUUUGUACAAUCCUGAAUAAUGUGGCGACAAGCCCGGCGCCCUAUCGAUUCAUGAAACGAAGAAAAAAAGGAUUUAUAGUGACAAGACUGCACGGAUGCAUCUGUCAAAGAAAGAGCGGCCUUGGCGAGUCCGUCCGCACGCUCGUUUCCAACGAUUCCAGAGUGGCCCGGAACCCACAGCAGGCGGACGGGCAUCCCCCUCUCCAAAAGCAACGACCUAAAAGCAUUCUUAAUUGUAUAUAUUGUUGAAAUUUGAUUAUUUCCCUUUGCAAAUGUGCGAGAUAAGGUAUAAAUAAAUGUGUUCAGUAUUUCAAUAAACAAAAGAAAAUGUAUAUAUAUAUAAUUACGAAAAAUAUGUAACAAUACAUUCAAACAGUUUCAAAUAAUUAUAUAUCAAUCACAUACAAAUAAGCAAGAAAAUAUACGUGUGAACCUCAAA